GCUAAACGCGAAGAACCUUACCUGGCCUUGACAUCCAUGGAANCCCGAAGAGAUUCGGGAGNGCCGCAAGAACCAUGAGACAGGUGCUGCAUGGCUGUCGUCAGCUCGUGUCGUGAGAUGUUGGGUUAAGUCCCGCAACGAGCGCAACCCUUGUCCUUAGUUGCCAUCAUUAAGUUGGGAACUCUAAGGAGACCGCCGGUGACAAACCGGAGGAAGGUGGGGAUGACGUCAAGUCAUCAUGGCCUUUAUGGCCAGGGCUACACACGUGCUACAAUGGCAGGUACAGAGGGAAGCCAACCGGCGACGGGAGCUAAUCCCAGAAAGCCUGUCUUAGUCCGGAUUGCAGUCUGCAACUCGACUGCGUGAAGUCGGAAUCGCUAGUAAUCGUGAAUCAGAAUGUCACGGUGAAUACGUUCCCGGGUCUUGUACACACCG
rnacentral:rRNA from 1 species